rnacentral:rRNA from 1 species
CAGCCGCCACGGUAAAACGGAGGGUGCAAGCGUUAAUCGGAAUUACUGGGCGUAAAGCGCACGCAGGCGGUCUGUCAAGUCAGAUGUGAAAUCCCCGAGCUUAACUUGGGAACUGCAUUUGAAACUGGCAAGCUAGAGUCUUGUAGAGGGGGGUAGAAUUCCAGGUGUAGCGGUGAAAUGCGUAGAGAUCUGGAGGAAUACCGGUGGCGAAGGCGGCCCCCUGGACAAAGACUGACGCUCAGGUGCGAAAGCGUGGGGAGCAAACAGGAUUAGAUACCCGCGUAGUCCCUGUCUCUUAUAC